UUUUCCAUUCUUGUUGCUCUUCACAUCGCUAUUUAAUCCAAAACUGAUAUUUUGUAUUUUCACAAUUCCUAGCUGCUGCUAGUUUUCACUCUCACGCCUAAUAUUUCUUAUGCUUCUCAACACUCAAUAUCUAUUUCUAACUUAUACUUCUUUUUUCUUUGCUCACUUAUACACACCACACAUCUAAACGUGUAUGUAUAUAGGCUAUAUAAACCGACUUAGAGGCUUAACCUUACUGCCAUACUUUCAGCAAGCUACCACCUUGCUUAGAUUCUUACCACAUUGUUUCUAUCCAUGCAUUAUCAAUUUAAAACCAUUUAUAACUUUCCACCUAGCAAGCCAACUUAUCAACUUAUCUCUAUGAUAAGCCGACCUUGAAGUGGAUUUGACUUUUAAAACAUCCCCUCAAAUCCAGC
rnacentral:lncRNA from 1 species